rnacentral:rRNA from 1 species
CGACUUCGGUUGGAAGAGUAAAGUGGCGCACGGGUGAGUAACGCGUGGGUAACCUGCCCUCGAAUCUGGAAUAACUUCGCGAAAGCGUUGCUAAUACCGGAUAUUGUCCUUUUUGCCGUGGCAUUUGGGAUAAAAGAUGACCUCUUCAUGAAAGUUGUCGUUUGGGGAGGGGCUCGCGUACCAUUAGCUUGUUGGUAGGGUAAUGGCCUACCAAGGCUACGAUGGUUAGCUGGUCUGAGAGGAUGAUCAGCCACACUGGAACUGAAACACGGUCCAGACUCCUACGGGAGGCAGCAGUGAGGAAUUUUGCGCAAUGGGGGAAACCCUGACGCAGCAACGCCGCGUGAGUGAAGAAGGCUUUCGGGUCGUAAAGCUCUGUCAAGUGGGAAAAAAAUCUCAUGAUGAAAGUCAUGAGGCUUGAUGGUACCACUGGAGGAAGCACCGGCUAACUCCGUGCCAGCAGCCGCGGUAAUACGGAGGGUGCAAGCGUUGAUCGGAAUUAUUGGGCGUAAAGAGCGUGUAGGCGGUAUGGUAAGUCAGAUGUGAAAGCCCUGGGCUCAACCCAGGAAGUGCAUUUGAUACUGCCAUUCUUGAGUAUGGGAGAGGAGAGUGGAAUUCCUAGUGUAGAGGUGAAAUUCGUAGAUAUUAGGAGGAACACCCGUGGCGAAGGCGGCUCUCUGGACCAAUACUGACGCUGAGACGCGAAAGCGUGGGGAGCAAACAGGAUUAGAUACCCUGGUAGUCCACGCCGUAAACGAUGAGAACUAGGUGUAGCGGGUAUUGACCCCUGCUGUGCCGAAGUUAACGCAUUAAGUUCUCCGCCUGGGGAGUACGGCCGCAAGGCUAAAACUCAAAGGAAUUGACGGGGACCCGCACAAGCGGUGGAGCAUGUGGUUUAAUUCGACGCAACGCGAAGAACCUUACCUGGAUUUGACAUCCUCUGACAACCCUAGAAAUAGGGCCUUUCCGACUUGUCGGAACAGAGUGACAGGUGCUGCAUGGCUGUCGUCAGCUCGUGUCGUGAGAUGUUGGGUUAAGUCCCGCAACGGGCGCAACCCUUGUUUUUAGUUGCCAGUAUUAAGUUAGGCACUCUAAAGAUACUGCCUCGGUUAACGGGGAGGAAGGUGGGGAUGACGUCAAGUCCUCAUGGCCUUUAUAUCCAGGGCUACACACGUGCUACAAUGGACUGUACAAAGGGUCGCGACACCGCGAGGUGAAGCUAAUCU